rnacentral:lncRNA from 1 species
CGCUAUUGUAUCAAAUAUAGCUGGAACCAACAUUGGUUUCAUACCUUGGCAAAAAAGACUGUGAGGUGUGUUUCACUGCCGAGUAUCCAGAUGGGGAACUUUGGAGAUUUCAAAUAGGAGCCAACCUUACAGUAUCUCAGAGAUUCCAUUAGUGUCAGAAAGCCUACUGUUGCUUGUUUAUGUAUGCCAAGAAGCUUCAUUCCUGAACAUUCUCUGUCUCCAUCCCACACAUUAGAAACAGCAUGCCCCGUCAACAGGAGGUUAAUUAAACUUUGGCUUCCAUGACCAUAAACAGGAUCUAUCAAUGGCUCAGUUGCAUCCUCAAUUUCAUUUUUUAUGUUUUCAGUACCCUUUGUCAGUAUCACAGAAUACAGAAAGAGUAAUACUCCAAAUCUGUUUGUCCACAC